UAGUAGCCUUCAACCCGUGGCUCUAGACAUCCUGCACCCUCUUCAGAUCAACAAGUCUAUAUUGAUUUGCACUUUGCGACCAUCCUUGUGUUGUCUUAACAGCUCACAUUUAUCUAGUGAGAUUGAUAUUUGUUUUGUUUUUUAGAUCCUCACAACAAAUUUUCAUGGAAGGAAAACUUAAGAACAAGAUCUUCCCUGCCUUUGAGAUUUUCCUGCAGCAAUUCCAGGUGCUGUGAGGAAGGAAAAUAACAAAGAAAAAAAAGCCUGUCCUCAGGGAGAAGGCAAGAUGCACAGGAAAUAAUUAGUGAUUAAUUUAGGUAUGGAAUUUAUACACCAAAAAUAAACUGGUUCAGAUCAUCUGCGUU
rnacentral:lncRNA from 1 species